rnacentral:rRNA from 1 species
UCAGAGUGAACGCUGGCGGUAGGCCUAACACAUGCAAGUCGAACGGCAGCACAGAGGAGCUUGCUCCUUGGGUGGCGAGUGGCGGACGGGUGAGGAAUACAUCGGAAUCUACUUUUUCGUGGGGGAUAACGUAGGGAAACUUACGCUAAUACCGCAUACGACCUACGGGUGAAAGCAGGGGAUCUUCGGACCUUGCGCGAUUGAAUGAGCCGAUGUCGGAUUAGCUAGUUGGCGGGGUAAAGGCCCACCAAGGCGACGAUCCGUAGCUGGUCUGAGAGGAUGAUCAGCCACACUGGAACUGAGACACGGUCCAGACUCCUACGGGAGGCAGCAGUGGGGAAUAUUGGACAAUGGGCGCAAGCCUGAUCCAGCCAUACCGCGUGGGUGAAGAAGGCCUUCGGGUUGUAAAGCCCUUUUGUUGGGAAAGAAAUCCAGCCGGCUAAUACCUGGUUGGGAUGACGGUACCCAAAGAAUAAGCACCGGCUAACUUCGUGCCAGC